GACCAUUAUCCUUGCAAAUCCUUCGAUUGCUUCCACCGCCAAAACCCUAACCUAGGCUUCAACCCUUCCUCCGAUUCGUCUAACUUCACAACCUACAAGACCGACCUCGAUCUCCCGAUCUCGCAGCUCUUCUAGAUCGCCAAGUCCGCAAAGUCAGUCAUCCGGCUGGGCCUCGACGUCGGUGGCGGCACCGGGUCAUUCGCCGCCACGAUGAAGCUCCGCAACGUGACAGUUGUGACGACGACUAUGAGAGGUGGAUGGUACUUGUGAAUUGACAGAUUCUUCAGCAAAGGGGUGGACCUUGAAAAGCUGUAUGCGCCAUUGAUUGGGAAAUUAGGUUACAAGAAGGUGAAGUGGGCUACUGGGAAUAAGACUGAUGCUAGUGGCAUCAAGAAUUCUGAGAACAA